UACGUAGGGGGCAAGCGUUGUCCGGAAUUAUUGGGCGUAAAGCGCGCGCAGGCGGUCGCUUAAGUCUGGUGUAUAAACCAAGGGCUCAACCUUUGGACGCAUUGGAAACUGGUCGACUGGAGUGUAGGAGAGGAAAGUGGAAUUCCACGUGUAGCGGUGAAAUGCGUAGAGAUGUGGAGGAACACCAGUGGCGAAGGCGACUUUCUGGCCUAUAACUGACGCUGAGGCGCGAAAGCCAGGGGAGCAAACGGG
rnacentral:rRNA from 1 species